rnacentral:rRNA from 1 species
GACGAAGGUGGCAAGCGUUGUUCGGAAUCACUGGGCGUAAAGAGUUCGUAGGCGGCCAAGUCAGUCAGGUGUGAAAUCCCUCGGCUCAACUGGGGAAUGGCGCCUGAUACUGCUUGGCUUGAGGGCAGGAGGGGAGAGUGGAAUUCCUGGUGUAGCGGUGAAAUGCGUAGAUAUCAGGAGGAACGCCGGUGGCGAAAGCGACUCUCUGGACUGCUUCUGACGCUGAGGAACGAAAGCCAGGGGAGCAAACGGG